GUGGGGAAUAUUGGACAAUGGGCGAAAGCCUGAUCCAGCCAUGCCGCGUGUGUGAAGAAGGUCUUCGGAUUGUAAAGCACUUUAAGUUGGGAGGAAGGGCAGUAAGUUAAUACCUUGCUGUUUUGACGUUACCGACAGAAUAAGCACCGGCUAACUUCGUGCCAGCAGCCGCGGUAAUACGAAGGGUGCAAGCGUUAAUCGGAAUUACUGGGCGUAAAGCGCGCGUAGGUGGUUUUGUAAGUUGGAGGUGAAAUCCCCGGGCUCAAACUGGGAACUGCCUCCAAAACUGCAUGACUAGAGUACGGUAGAAGGUAGUGGAAUUUCCUGUGUAGCGGUGAAAUGCGUAGAUAUAGGAAGGAACACCAGUGGCGAAGGCGACUACCUGGACUGAUACUGACACUGAGGCACGAAAGCGUGGGGAGCAAACAGGAUUAGAAACCCCUGUAGUCC
rnacentral:rRNA from 1 species